CGAUGAAGAUAUUAAUGUGUCAUCACGAUGACACGGAUAGAUGUCGCUUCAUUUGUGCGUUCAUUAAUUUACGGUCCCAAAAGGUGUUGUAAUUCAGUGUUUGAUCACCAUCAUCAUCGACCUCAUGAUUUCAGAUGCAGCAGCAGUGGGGGAAAAAGAACGUGGGAGCAAAUCCGAAAUAAAUAUAAAAACAUCCUUCAGAGUGGUUAGUAGGUUUAUUGGCAGAUGGUAUUUGUACAUACAGUAUUUCAUCAUGUACACAGCGAUUUCCUCACAAUGUCUCAGCUGUAGGAUGAUGAUAAACGAGGUCGUGUGAUAUUAUUUGCAGCCCAUAAGAAAAAAUGUGCGGCCAAACAAACCGGGGGAGGGCCAGCUGCAGAAGACUUCACCCCGGCUGAGGAGCUGGCCCUCUCCUUAAACAGGGGUCGCCCAGCUACUGAGGGCAUCGAGGGUGGCGUGACUUCUGACCCUGGUGGGGGUAGCAGCUCGCAGAGCUCCUGCUUUGUACAGGGUACGUUUCAGUGAGGCAAAGGCAAACCACUGACUUGCUCAAAAAGCACAGAGUUGUUUGUGAAAGGUGACUGCUAAUGUUCUAAUGUUUCUCCCCAGUGGACAGUGACACACUGACUGUCACGCUGCUACCUCCACCCAAGCAAAAAUUGCCCCUUACAGAGGUAACUGCAAAUUCAACCAGCCAUUCACAUAAUUCACCUGUGGCUGCUUAUGAUUCCUUCACCCAACAAAACCUUUGUCAUCAUUGAUGUAGGCGGCGGUGAUUGAUGAUGAGACUCUCUCAGCCUGCUCAGAGAGACCAUGGCCGGUACAACUUAGUCAUUGUUCUUUUCUAAAGUGGUUCUCACAGUGGUGGGGAGAUUGUGGCAGUUAUUUAUCAAUGGCAAAUUCCACAGGUGAUGGGGUCUGCUGCUGGGAAUGAUAAGUGUGCUCACAUGCUCUCUCAUCCUGUGACUCAAUUUCAAUUGUUCUUCUUUCACAGGAAGAGGCAAACCCAGCUGCCCCUGAGCCAGUGGCCUCCACCUCAAGACCAGCCAAGAGAAGGGAAUCACAAAAUGUAAUCCAUUUUCAAAUUAACCAAAGUUUAAUAGGCACAUUUUCAAGCACACAAUGUAAAGAGGGAAAUGCUUGGACAUUGAAGCAACUGCAUGUGUUUGAUUUCAGCCCGGGGCCGACACAGUGAGGGCGCUAUACAAAAGGCAGCUGGAAGAGGACAUUGAGUGCAAAGCACUCCAAAAGAAAGUGUUACAGCUCAAAAUCAAAAAAUUAACAUUACAGGUGGAAACACUGGAGUAUGACAAACAGGUAACGCAUAAUCUUGUAUAAAGAGAAGCAAUGGCAAUUUCACAUGUGAUCAUCCUCCAAGGAAAUUAGGUUACAUCUGCCCUGCAGUGGGCUGCGCUCAUGCUCACAGAGUACCGUUGUGGAAUAAAAUAAUGUUUUUCCUUUUUUCUUACAGGAACGUGAAAAAAAAAUACUUUCCCAAUAAAAUCAAAAUACAAACC